rnacentral:tRNA from 1 species
AUUAUUUUGGCAGAAUUAGUGCAUUAAAUUUAGGAUUUAAUUAUAUAUAAUAAUUUAUAUAGGUAAUA